UUGACCUCAAAUCAGGUAGGAUUACCCGCUGAACUUAAGCAUAU
rnacentral:rRNA from 10 species